GACGAACGCUGGCGGCGUGCCUAAUACAUGCAAGUUGAGCGCUGAAGGUUGGUACUUGUACCAACUGGAUGAGCAGCGAACGGGUGAGUAACGCGUGGGGAAUCUGCCUUUGAGCGGGGGACGACAUUUGGAAACGAAUGCUAAUACCGCAUAAAAACUUUAAACACAAGUUUUAAGUUUGAAAGAUGCAAUUGCAUCACUCAAAGAUGAUCCCGCGUUGUAUUAGCUAGUUGGUGAGGUAAAGGCUCACCAAGGCGAUGAUACAUAGCCGACCUGAGAGGGUGAUCGGCCACAUGGGGACUGAGACACGGCCCAAACUCCUACGGGAGGCAGCAGUAGGGAAUCUUCGGCAAUGGACGAAAGUCUGACCGAGCAACGCCGCGUGAGUGAAGAAGGUUGUCGGAUCGUAAAACUCUGUUGGUAGAGAAGAACGUUGGUGAGAGUGGAAAGCUCAUCAAGUGACGGUAACUACCCAGAAAGGGACGGCUAACUACGUG
rnacentral:rRNA from 1 species